UACAGAGGGGGCAAGCGUUAUUCGGAAUUACUGGGCGUAAAGGGCGCGUAGGCGGCCCGCUAAGUCGAACGUGAAAUCCCCAGGCUCAACCUGGGAACUGCGUCCGAUACUGGCAGGCUUGAAUCCGGGAGAGGGAUGUGGAAUUCCAGGUGUAGCGGUGAAAUGCGUAGAUAUCUGGAGGAACACCGGUGGCGAAGGCGGCAUCCUGGACCGGUAUUGACGCUGAGGCGCGAAAGCUAGGGGAGCAAACGGG
rnacentral:rRNA from 1 species